AUGUAGAGUCCGCAUAUUUUCAUAUCAAACUCUAUGAAAUAAGGGGUUUAUUUCAGCCAAACCAGAGUUGUUGAUUGUUGGAAAGACUAACCAAGACAGUUUUGGAGAGUUUUACUUUGUUUCUUUCAAGUUUGAAUGAAGAGUUUUAACGAUUCUC